rnacentral:rRNA from 1 species
UCGGUGUAGGAUGAGCUCGCGGCCUAUCAGCUUGUUGGUGGGGUAAUGGCCUACCAAGGCGGCGACGGGUAGCCGGCCUGAGAGGGUGUACGGCCACAUUGGGACUGAGAUACGGCCCAG